AACGAACGCUGGCGGCAUGCCUAACACAUGCAAGUCGAACGAGACCUUCGGGUCUAGUGGCGCACGGGUGCGUAACGCGUGGGAACCUGCCCUUAGGUUCGGAAUAACUCCCCGAAAGGGGUGCUAAUACCGGAUAAUGUCUUCGGACCAAAGAUUUAUCGCCUUUGGAUGGGCCCGCGUUGGAUUAGCUAGUUGGUAGGGUAAAAGCCUACCAAGGCGACGAUCCAUAGCUGGUCUGAGAGGAUGAUCAGCUACACUGGGACUGGGACACGGCCCAGACUCCUACGGGAGGCAGCAGUGGGGAAUAUUGGACAAUGGGCGAAAGCCUGAUCCAGCACUGCCGGGUGAGUGAUGAAGGCCUUAGGGUUGUAAAGCUCUUUUACCCGGGAUGAUAAUGACAGUACCGGGAGAAUAAGCUCCGGCUAACUCCGUG
rnacentral:rRNA from 1 species